GUGAGUGAAGGGGCGGGGUGGGAGGAGAGACCCGAGGCGAGCGUACAGAGUAGGGCUCGGAGGCUUCGGGUGGAGUCUCUGGUGUAUACUGCGCAUGUGCCAAUUUAUUUUCCGAGCGGGGAACGAACAAAUUUUCCUCUGUAUUGAGUUGUGCCUGUUUUAAAGGUUAUCAUUCUACACGCAAUUAUCCAGAAUUGCUCAAUAUGCAAGCUUGAAACAAGGAUUAAGUUGGCCUCUUUGUGGUGAAAAAUGAACAACAAGGUACUGUUUAAUAAGAAGAAUUAAUCUACAGUAAGUAUCACAAUCUCCUAAUAGAUUCAUGCUCCUCUUAAUUCAUUCUCUGGAAGUAAUUUAAAGGUUGAAAGAACUGGCUGAUAAUUAACCUUUUAGAAAGCUUCAAGGAAGAAGGUUUUUUUUAAA
rnacentral:lncRNA from 1 species